rnacentral:lncRNA from 1 species
AUGGGCACAAUACAGGACAGAAAUGAUAUGGACCUAACAGAAGCAGAAGAUAUUAAGAAGAGGUGGCAAGAAUACACAGAAGAACUGUACAAAAAAGAUCUUCACGACCCAGAUAAUCACGAUGGUGUGAUCACUGACAUAGAGCCAGAUAUCCUGGAAUGUGAAGUCAAGUGGGCAUCACUACAAGAAAGCAUCACUACAAACAAAGCUAGUAGAGGUGAUGGAAUUCCAGUGGAGCUAUUUCAAAUCCUGAAAGAUGAUGCUGUGAAAGUGCUGCACUCAAUAUGCCAGCAAGUUUGGAAAACUCAGCAGUGGCCACAGGACUGGAAAAGGUCAGUUUUCAUUCCAAUCCCAAAGAAAGGCAAUGCCAGAGAAUGCUCAAACUAUCACACAACUGCACUCAUCUCACAUGCUAGUAAAGUAAUGCUCAAAAUUCUCCAAGCUAGGCUUCAGCAAUAUGUGAACUGUGAACUUCCAGAUAUUCAAGCUGGAUUUAGAAAAGGCAGAGGAACCAGAGAUCAAAUUGCCAACAUCUGCUGGAUCAUGGAAAAAGCUAGAGAGUUCCAGAAAAACAUGUAUUUCUGCUUUAUUGACUAUGCCAAAGCCUUUGACUGUGUGGAUCACAAUCAACUGUGGAAAAUUCUGAAAGAGAUGGGAAUACCAGACCACCUGACCUGCCUCUUGAGAAACCUAUAUGCAGGUCAGGAAGCAACAGUUAGAACUGGACAUGGAACAACAGACUGGUUCCAAACAAGAAAAGGAGUACAUCAAGGCUGUAUAUUGUCACCCUGCUUAUUUAACUUAUAUGCAAAGUACAUCAUGAGAAACGCUGGGCUGGAAGAAGCACAAGCUGGAAUCAAGAUUGCCGGGAGAAAUAUCAAUAACCUCAGAUAUGCAGAUGACACCACCUUUAUGGCAGAAAGGGAAGAGGAACUAAAAAGCCUCUUGAUGAAAGUGAAAGAGGAGCGUGAAAAAGUUGGCUUAAAGCUCAACAUUCAGAAAAUGAAGAUCACGGUAUCUAGUCCCAUCACUUCAUGGGAAAUAGAUGGGGAAACAGUGGAAACAGUGUCAGACUUUAAUUUUUUGGGCUCCCAAAUCACUGCAGAUGGUGAUUGCAGCCAUGAAAUUAAAAGACGAUUACUCCUUGGAAGGAAAGUUAUGACCAACCUAGAGAGCAUAUUCAAAGGCAGAGACAUUACUUUGCCAAAAAAGUCCCAUCUAGUCAAGGCUAUGGUUUUUCCUGUGGUCAUGUAUGGAUGGAGAGUUGGACUGUGA